GUAGGCAACAGUCUGUUUAUUCAAUGUAUUAGGUUUAUCCAUCGUUGAUUGACGUCUGGUGAGUACGGCAAAGUAUGGCUCUGCCUAACAAACUUUUAUCAUAAAGUUUGACCUCAAAUCAGGUAGGAUUACCCGCUGAACUUAAGCAUAUCAAUAAGCGGAGGAAAAGAAACCAACAGGGAUUGCCUUAGUAGCGGCGAGUGAAGCGGCAAGAGCUCAAAUUUGAAAUCUGGCAUCUUCGAUGUCCGAGUUGUAAUUUGAAGAAUUCGAUCUUGGAGUUGGCCCUUGUCUAUGUUCCUUGGAACAGGACGUCACAGAGGGUGAGAAUCCCGUGCGAUGGGGUGUCCAAUUCUAUGUAAGACGUUUUCGAAGAGUCGAGUUGUUUGGGAAUGCAGCUCAAAGUGGGUGGUAAAUUCCAUCUAAAGCUAAAUAUUGGCGAGAGACCGAUAGCGAACAAGUACUGUGAAGGAAAGAUGAAAAGAACUUUGAAAAGAGAGUGAAAAAGUACGUGAAAUUGUUGAAAGGGAAGGGUAUUCGAUCAGACUGGUAUUUAGUUAUCUUUGCUCCUUGUGGGUGAGGCUCUAACUUUUUACUGGGCCAACAUCAGUUUUGGUGGCGAGAUAAUGACAUUAGAAUGUAACUCCUUCUGGAGUAUUAUAGCUCUUGUUGAUAUCGCCUACCGGGACUGAGGUCUGCGGCUUUGCCUAGGAUGUUGGCGUAAUGAUCCAAUACCGCCCGUCUUGAAACAUGGACCAAGGAGUCUAACGUCUAUGCGAGUGUUUGGGUGUAAAACCCGUACGCGUAAUGAAAGUGAACGUAGGUGAGGGCCCUUUGGGGUGCAUCAUCGACCGAUCCUGAUGUCUUCGGAUGGAUUUGAG
rnacentral:rRNA from 1 species